UACAGAGGGUGCGAGCGUUAAUCGGAAUUACUGGGCGUAAAGCGCACGUAGGCGGUCCGUUAAGUCGGAUGUGAAAGCCCCCGGCUCAACCGGGGAAGUGCAUCCGAAACUGGCGGGCUAGAGUACGAAAGAGGGUCGCGGAAUUCCCGGUGUAGAGGUGAAAUUCGUAGAUAUCGGGAGGAACACCGGUGGCGAAGGCGGCGACCUGGGUCGAUACUGACGCUGAGGUGCGAAAGCGUGGGGAGCAAACAGG
rnacentral:rRNA from 1 species